CAAAGACGAUCCUGCCUGUCUCCCAGCUACAGGCAUUCCUCCCGACAGAGACGAGCUGCUCAGGAGGUCCAGUGCCUGGAUCCCGAUGCAGAUGCGUGCGGCUUUCUCAGCGGAGGAGUGUGAGGAUGCAUCUAGGGCAGCUCAGUGGGCAGAGAGGCUGCGAUCAUUGGGAGAUCAGGACAUGGUGUGAAGGUAGAGAAGUGCUGUGUGGUGGAAGCCGGAGUCUACCUUUGCACCUCUUUCUUGCUGUAAGAGGGUCCCUUCCAACCCAAACUAUUCUAUGAUGGCUCUUCAAAAUCUUGCUGAGAUGCUUUUUUUUCAAAAGCAUCUGAAGGGGCUACAAGAAAGCUGUGGAGGGACUGUUCACAAAGGCUUAUGGUGAUAGGAUGAAGGGGAACAGGUAUAAACUGGAGAGGGACAGAUUUAGACUGGACAUAAGGAGGAAUCUCUUCUGGCCCAGGUUGCCCAGAGCAGUGGGGGCUGCCCCAUCCCUGGAGGUGCUCCAGGCCAGGUUGGAUGGGGCUUGGAGCCCCUGAUCCAGUGGGAGGUGUCCCUGCCCAUGGCAGGGGGUGAAACUGGAUGGGCUUUGAGGUCCCCUCCAGUCCAAACUAUUCUAUGAUGGCUCUUCAAAAUCCUGCUGAGAUGCUUUUUUCCAAAAGCCAAUAGUUUCAAGGUCCUGUCGCUGGACCAAGACCCUCUGCAAGGGAAAGGGUUAAGAGAUGCUCACUGGGCAAACUGGGGAUGCAGGACUUUACUGGCAGCUAAACUCAAACCCUCCUCAAAUGCUGCUGGAGCAGAGAGCUCACCGCGGUGAGUGCACCGCAGGGCUGCGGCUGGCUCGUGUGCGUGCACAUUUGUUGGGUUUGCGUACCUCUGUUUGUGGUUUCUAAGGAGUCUUGUUGAAAUGUAAGGCAAUUAAAAUGUCUUUCUUAAUGGCCAGGAUAUUAAAACGCUUGCAUCUGGCAGAGCAUUGCAGAGAAAGAGGUCUGUGAGCUGACAUUUCCAUACUCAUCUCCUGUUUCUCUAUUCACGCUCCUGUUUCCUCAUCCCAUCAGACUUCUUCAGGUAGAGAUGACUGCAGACCAUAACACUCUCCAAAAGCCCAAAUAAGAAAAACGCACAGCCUAUUUGCUCUUCUUUCCACCCCUUUUUGACAAACUUGGGCAUUUCCUGUUUUUUUUUUCCCAAAGUCACUGAUAAUUUUAAGUGUGUUGCCUGGUGGUGACACGGCUGAUGGUGCCCCAGCGAAGGCUGUGUGCUGGUGGUGGCCACUUCCAUCGCAAGCUGACGGCAGGCUCAAGCAUGUGGGGCUACUGCUUGCUGCUGGCUCCUCAGCAGCUCUGUUGUCCAGCCCCAGCCCAGCUCUGCUGCCUCUGGAGAAGGGCUGGUGUGCCGUGCUGGAGGUGAGGUCAUGGUCUCAGCGAGCCCUACUUGGCCACACUCCCUGCCCAUCCACCAAGGGCACUCCAUUCCUCUCCCAUCACUUCACCCCUUCCAUCCUUCUCCUGUAACCGUGUGUCCUUGCCGGGUGCUCACGUGUCCCAUGUGUUUGGAACGGGACCUUUUGUACCUCAGCAGGGAGAUGGCUCCUUUCCAGCCCUUACAAAGGCGAUCGGUGUCACUCCAUGUGGACAUGUUGUUCUCUCAGGAUGAGUUACUCCUGUGGGAUGAGGUGCAGAGGAUAAUCUUCCCUCAAUCCAGUGGAUGCCACCGUAGAUAAAGUGGUCAGGUACUAGCCAAAGGGUGGUAGCACCUAGCCCGGUACACGGCCAGCCUAGGAGAUCCUGGGUCAGACCUCAGAGGGCUGGUGGGGCAUCCCCUGCUCACAUCUCAUGGUUUGGGCAUCCUCGUGGUCCAGGAUAGAUGAGAUACUUAUGGAUGCUUUUUGGAUGCACUUUGUUUCUUCAUCUAUAUUCUAUUUCUUCAUAUGUAUUCUAUAUGUCUCUAUUAGAAGCAGACAGAAGAUCCGUGGGGGCAGAAAGAGACACCAGGAAGCCUAUAACCCUUGAUAGCUCCAAAGUUCUUUAUCGAAGUCCACAGUCACCUCCGGCUAAGCAAAUCCAUCAGUUUCCUGUACAAAUAGAAGUCAAAGAGAGAAACCUGAUUUGGAAUCUGCCACGGGAGGGCAGUGAAUCCCUCUCCGCCUGCGAGAAGCAUCGGGUCUGGCUGCGAUGGGAGAUGCAGGGAACGGGCUGUAGAGGUCCCUUUGCACCAGAAGAUGACUGAGGAAGGUGUCCUGGUGGUUUUCUCCAAAGGGGAAUAAG